CACGGUGAAUACGUUCCCGGGCCUUGUACACACCGCCCGUCACACCAUGGGAGUUGGUUUUACCCGAAGCUGGUGAGCUAACCGCAAGGAGGCAGCCAACCACGGUAAGGUCAGCGACUGGGGUGAAGUCGUAACAAGGUAGCCGUAGGGGAACCUGCGGCUGGAUCACCUCCUUUCUAAGGAUUGU
rnacentral:rRNA from 1 species